rnacentral:rRNA from 1 species
ACCUAUGGCCACAACAGCUUGCCAAUGCACUGAUCUCUGAAGCGAAGUAGGCCCGGGCCUCUUUAGUACUUGGAUGGGAGACUGCUGGGAAUGUCAGGUGCCACAGUGG